GGGAUUUGAUGCACACGAUCAUGUUACAACCUUUCUAUAUCUAUUUCUUGCUUUCUAUGUCUUUUUUUUAAAGAGUUGAAGGUCACAUGUAAACAUGUAUUUGCCUGUUUGAGCUUUAGUCUUAGCUCUCAAUUGUUACUAGGUGAAGAUCAUAUUUGUUCUUGGCUGAACCAGUAGUUGCAGGAGGCUCUCAAGGAUACAAGUA
rnacentral:misc_RNA from 1 species